GCAGAAGGCGACGGUGUUCGCGUCGAGCUUCGCUGCCGCGCUCGAGCUGGUGCGCGAAGGCACGCUGGAUCUGCAUCAGAAAGAAGCGUUCGCACCUUUGUAUUUUCGUAAGCACGUGGCGCAUUUGCCUCCCGACGUUCAAGCGGCGCCGGAAGUGCAGGCCGACUAAGACGUCGAGUAAGUGGAAGAAGGAGACAGGGCCAUGGCAAGUCCGGCGAGAACGACUGCGGCGGCACAGCACAUUGCUCCGGUGGAGCAGGAGGUGUCUUCCAACGACGCGGUCGCGCGCCCCG
rnacentral:misc_RNA from 1 species